rnacentral:lncRNA from 1 species
UGGGGUUCAGCUCAAGCUCUAGCUUUGACGGUCCCGGUUGGGGUUCGGGCUUUAGGUCAGGUUGUGGAGCGGGGUUAUUCGGAUCCGGUUGCGGUUCUGGCUUUGGAUCAGGCUGUGGUGUUGGUUUGGGUUCCGGCUUCGGGUCAGGUUGUGGCGUGGGGUUUGGAUCGGGCUGCGGUUGGGGCUUUGGGUCAGGCUGUGGUGUUGGUUUGGGUUCCGGUUUCUUGUCAGGUUGUGGCGCAGGGUUUGGAUCAGGCUGCGGUUGCGGCUUCAGGUCAGGCUGCGGUUGGGGCUUUGGGUCAGGUCGUGGUGUGAGGUUUGGAUCAGGCUGCGGUUGGGGCUUUGGAUCGGGCUGCGGUUGGGGGUUUGGGUCAGGUUGUGGUGUUGGGUUUGGAUCAGGCUGCGGUUGGGGCUUUGGGUCGGGCUGUGGUGCCGGGUUUGGAUCAGGCUGCGGUUGUGGCUUUGGGUUGGGUUGUGGUGUUGGUUUGGGAUCUGGCUUUGGGUCUGGUUGUGGUGUUGGUUUGGGAUCUGGCUUUGGAUCAGGUUGUGGUUCGGGCUGUGGUGUUGGUUUGGGCCGUGGCUUUGGGUCGAUCACCCUGCCACAGGCAAGGUCAGGAACACUUGCAGCAAGUGUGAGGACUAGGGCCAAGAGGAGAGCGGACCUCAUCGCGCUAGCUGCCACUGGAAUCGUAGC